AAGCACCAGAGAGCAUCCACCUCCAAGCGUUAUUUUGAUGGUUACAAGAGUGUUCUAAAGUUCCCUAGUAUAUCCAGCUUACCCUGUCCUGAAGGAGCAAGCUUGCUAACUCUUACAUGGUUGCCACAGGGCAAGCUAGUCGCUUUGCUCACUUCUUCCCUAUUUUUCUCGACUACACCCUAGGACCGGCAGGAGGGAGCAACAGACACAGCCUACUGGAAAACCACCCACAGGCAGGGUUGUGCUUUGCCCUGGUUCCUGAUAGCAGGAAUGACUGUAACAUUCUAGAGGACUCUAGUGAAUGGAGGAUGUUUUCAAGCACUGGGGCCAGGCUUGAAAUUCAUCAGCUUUAGUUCACUCUGUCCUACCGCACUCACGUGAAGGCAUAACUUUGCCUGUCUCUUGUAUUUGUUCGUCUAUUUUCAGUGAAAGGCAGGUACCAUGCCCCUUACUGAACAGCAUGGUGGAGAGCAACAGAGACUCAAAACAAGGAUAAAGGGCUUCUCAGUUGGAUCCGUGUACUGGAGAUAGGAGACACAGAUAAUGGGUAGGAGGAACUGGGCCACAGACACAUUGGAACUCAGAGCUUCACAGCACAGCUGUGUGUGCUAUUUAUCUUUAGUAUGUUCCUCCCCUCAAGGAGGGCACAGUGUUAUAGAUACAGACCUGGAAGACAGGAGGAAGCCUGGUUGCAUGUGUGUGAGCCGCUGUUGCUGCAGAGUGAAGCACAGUUCUCCAGCCUUUGUUGAAAAAAAAGAAAAAGACAGUAUUAGACUUAGUAUUGCUUUUGAGGGUGCAAAAAAAGCCUGUUUUGCUCAUUUAUGAUCAAUAAUAUUUAUAAAAUGUGGGAAUAUUGCUAUGAGAUGGGAGUUUGAGGAGAUAUUAGACAAAGUGCUUCCCCUUCAAGAACCUAUAAUCUAGUGGCAGGGGCAGACUGUGCAAGAAAACAGGCAGCAAGUGGUGUCUACUGCAUGAGCCAAAAGUGGAAUAUAUGGUAGAGGUGCUCAGUGGAGGAGACCAGUCCAUACCCAGAAGUGCACAGCAGAUAAAGUCUUGUGAAAAAAGAAUUGAGUGUGUAACUUAAAGGGAGCUGAAGUUAAAGGCAGUAGAGAUGAGAGAAACAGGGUCUGGGAAUGUCGGGUAGAUGAGAGAUGUGAAAGAAGGAUUGCUGUAAAGGAAGAAUAGAAAAGCAAGAAUGUACGAGGGAAGAGAGGAGAGGCCACAGACAUUGACCACCUGUGAAGACAGUUUUAUUGGGGAUGAGGGGAGAGGAAGAUGCCAACUGACCGAGGUAGGCAUUUGUGGAAAUGUUUGGGAAACACACUUUUGGGGGACUUGCUAAAUUGAAAAUCAAGAACCCAUAUGGGUUUGUCUAGCUUGAGGGUAACUGAGACUGGAGUGAAAUACCUGAAGCCCAUGAUGUGACUGACUGAGCUCUUCAAAGAAACUGUAGUCUGACUUUUGUUCCUGCUCACAUCUGGAAGUGGAUGGAGGAGUUAGACAUGUCCAGAGACCAGGACUGCUGGCCUAAGUGGUCUCAGUUGGCUGACAAUGGAGAAAUUUCACACACUGGAGCACAUUCCCUUUCAAGACUGCCUCACCAAAGCUAAGAAUGAGCCUGGAGAAGCAGCCCCUGAACAUGGCAGCUGAGCGUUGUCAAGAACACCACUCAACAGGAUGGGAGCAGGUUCAUUAUCAUGAAGAAGAAAGAGGAGAAAAAGAAGGAGGAGGAGAAGGAGACAAUGACUAAGAAGAUAAAGGGCACUCGCCAACUCAGUGUCUAUUUCCUAGUUUCUGUGGGGAUGCACUCUGCCUGAGCCUUCAGGAGCCUGGAGUGAAGAGGAAGGAGCCACUCACAGCUGUUUCAGCACCCUUGCAAGUCAUGCUGAUAGUGGAGGGGACACCCCAGGGCCUUGGCGUUCCAACCACUACCAUGUUGCGGCAGGAAAUGUCAGGUCACAAAUCACAAACCCCACUUCUCAGCAGCUACUUGUCUGAGAUCUCUGGUCUGAAACCUCCUCCUUCUACUCUCUUGCCUGUGACCUGGGGACUGCACUGUCCUACUGUCUUUGCAGAUUAUCUUUGCAUCUUGUGUGUUCUUAUAAAAGCACUUAUCUCAGUGGUCUAGGCAGUGAGUAAUAAUCUCUGCUGCCUCUGAAAUUCAUACCAGGAUUAUUUUAUCUCGCAUCUUUCUGUGGAAUGUCCCUUUGUCAAAUUUCUACUGAAACAAUUUUCAAUUAAGUAAUACAUUCUUACUCGGAGACAAGAAAAACAGCAUGAUUAGUAAUGGUAUCCAUUAUGUGCUGGGCACUGUUAUAAAUAUUUUACAUAUAUCUUAGAUACUUCAACCUUGGAAUACCUCAAUGAUACAGUUAUUAUGGUCCUCUUUAGCAUCUUCCUUGUUCUGCUCCCAUUAAAACUCCACUAUAUGGGCCCCUAAAGUUCUCUGGGAGCUGCUGUGAUCUCAUAGAGCAUAUUAAUCAGUUCUACAUGCCCAUGCCCCAGAGUUUGAGAUACAAGAAGGCUAUUCAUCAUUCAUUAGUCAACCCAAAUAUUGCAUUCCUCUGUAGUCAUGCCUAUGGUGUUGGGUUGUUUGUUUGUUUUGUUGUUGUUUUUGAGACAAAACAGAGAUGUGGAUGCACACGAUCCCAGGAGGGGACAUUCCCAAGGAGACAGACCGGGCACAUUUGGAGCGAUCCACUCCUGGUAGACAAAGUUUAAGAGGUGGACCCUAACUCAUCGCAGUGUGAACUCCGGACUGACGGACUGAGGGAGGAGCCUCUCUCCCAACUUGCUGGCAGAGCGAAUACUGGACAGAGGUGGUGUUAGGUCUGGCUUCACACAUGGACUCAUCUUUACUCAUAUCUGGUAGGAGAGUAGAAGCUGCAAUCUCUUUGUGCAUGAGCAACCUUUCCUGGAUCAGUGUAGCUACCACCGCUCAUCAAAGCAGCCUAGAAAAUCACAAUGGAACACAAUUCGAUCCCGGGGAGCCCAGGCCCUAAUGGCUACAUCUACAUCACGGCUCUUAAUCUAUGGCUCAAGGAAUAUUGUGGAAGAGGAGCAGGAGAAAUUUUAAGAGCCAGAACACUAGGAAAGUUUCCUCAGAUCAGUAUUUUCUAGAAAUGGAUGUAUGAACCAGACGUGAAACAUGGCACUACCAAUGGUAACAAAAUGCUCACAGCCAACCGUUGGACUGAGCGCGGGGACCCCAAUGGAGGAGUUAGGUAAAGGAC